rnacentral:pre_miRNA from 1 species
CCCCUGGCCCAGCCCAGUUGCGAUUGCGCGGACAUCUCAUCGUAUAAACAUUCGAUAACCAACGAGAUAUUCACGUUAUCGAGACUGAGACGUCG